GUUGUUGGAAGAAUUUGAGUUGCUUUGUCUUCAGUUUUCUUUGUUAAGUUUUGUAUACAGAUGUUUGUCUUUUGAGUUGUUUUUUUUUUUGGUCAUUACGUUUUCAAUUUAUUUUUGUUUAAAUAUCCCUUCGGUGUAUUUCGCCUCUCGUUUUAUGUUAAAUGAUUUUUUUUAAAGAUAGAGUUAUACUGAUGUUUAAGGAUGUUUUGUUUUACUUUUUGCCAGAUUUUCAGAAUCCUCUGGUUUUAUCCAUGUAUUGUCAUUAAAAAAAUUUGCCCACUAACCCCUUCUUUUUUUUCAUAAUUUUAUUACAUACAGUUUAAGAAGCCAUCUUUAAAAAAAUUAUAAAAUUCUUGUUAUUUUUUCAUAGUUUUUGAAACGAAUAAGGUGCCAAUGUUAAAAAUAUGACAAAUAUAGAGAGAAUUAUUUCCCGCCAAAUUUUCAAUGACUUAUAUCUCGAAAACGAGCACAGGG
rnacentral:lncRNA from 1 species